UAGUUUUGAGUUUUUCCAGAAGUAGGCCCAGAGACAAGGAUUCCAGAGCAAGUAUAUUGAUUUAGGUUGUCGGGAACAGGUAGAAGAACGUGAAAGAAAAGGAAAGCAACCAACAAAGGGUAGAUUGUCAAGCCAGCUACCAGGAGGGUAACUGGAGUUUAAUGCCGUGGGGAAAUUUUGACACACCCUGCAAAAUGCACUCGGAGGGUUACUGCACCCCAAGGGCAGGAGAGCUGGAAAGUUUAUACAUCAAGUCAUUGGCUCACCAGGCAUUGGCUGGGGAUUCAGGAGUGGGUGCUUCAUCUGUUUCCCCCCAUCGCUUGGUAGAUGCAGCGUCCAGCAGUCAGAAACCCGGAAGUCGGCAGGAGCUCACUGCAGUCGUGGAGUUCCAAGGGAUGGUAGCGUACUGGGUCAGCUGCAGUCUGGUUACGACACUAAAUGCAAGUAACCAUGACCAAUUCUGAAAUAAGUAUUUGGUGGUUGUAAAAAAUGCAGAGGAUAAACUGGCUCACAGCUCCAGAUUAAAUGAGUAAUACUGGAAAGUGAUGAAGCGCUGAGAAGACAGAACAAGGUACACAGCACUGGAGAGAAGCAGAGCUAAGGAGGUGAAGUGUCUGUCUGUCUUGCUGAAAGCAGCUGGGAGUGGGAAAAAAUAGUCUUGUCCACUUUUGGCUAUCUCAAGAUGAACAUGGAGCUCUCCAGCAGAGGAAAUGUCUAGGAGGAUAAGGUGACAUCUAUCAAGUGAACCUACUAUGCGAACACAUCUGCUGAUAGGCCUGACCCAUUUCUAUCAUCUGAGAAUCUCAAGUAGCUUGUCCACCAGCCACAGAGAGAUGAGGAAACUCUGGAAAAAGCAGCUUGCCCCUAGUAUGUCAGGUCUACAAGAGAGGGGAGACAUUGGAUGGAGUGUCCUAUGUGGCAGGGAGACCUCCACUCAGCAGGACACGGUGAGAGUUUCUUAAACCUGGGAAGAUCAGAAAACCCAUUGGUUUAAGCUACAAAUAGAGAAGAUGUUGAAACACAGAGAAGGCGUAAGAACUAAAGGGAGACACAACCAAGAAGAAGCAAAGAUGGAAGACCAUGCAAGAGUGGACUGAGCACAGAGUGGGAGGGUGAGAGCAAGGUUCUUGGUGUCAGGGAAUGACUGAAAAGAAUAAAGCCAAAGAACUCGUACUCAAGGAGACGGAAGCCUCAAGAGGGCCGAAGCAAUGGAAGCUUGACUUAGGGUGGGGGUGUCCUUCAACUUUGUGGAAUUAUGCUACAAGGCUGUAUUUGCCAAUUUUCACACUGCUAUAAAGAACUAUCUGAAGCUGGGUAAUUUAUAAAGAAAAGAGGUUUAAGUGACUCACAGCUCCGCAUGGCUGGGGAGGCAUCAUGAAACUUACAAUCAUGGCGGAAGGUAAAGGGGAAGCAAGGCACGUCUUAUAUGGUGGCAGGAGAGAGCAAGAGUGAGGAAGUGCCACACAUUAAAACCAUCAGCCCUGGUGAGAACUCACUCACUCUCAUGAGAACAGCAGGAAGAAAGCUGCCCCCAUGAUCUGAUAACCUCCCGCCAGGUCCCUCCCUCAACACAUGGGGAUUACAAUUCAAGAUGAGAAUAGGGUGGGGACACAGAGCCAAACUCUAUCAAAGGCAUUCUGCUGAUCCCUACCACCUGCCAGGCCCUGUCCAUUGUCUGCAGCAUGAGCCAUAAGUAUCAGCCCAUCAAAAAUGUUCAUUCCCACCUCCCAGCUUCAUCCUUGUACCUCCACUUCCUGUCCUGAAAGAGUUGGAGUUAAGUGGUGAACUUAAUACAAUUUGGGGUGAGGGUUGAGGGGGCAGAGUGGGCAGAAGGGGGAAACAAGCAGAAGAUUUAAAAUGAGAAGGCUGAGGCUUUAGUUCCAGUCCUAAAAUCUAGGUGACUUUGGGCAAGUUGUUCCUCCUCUCUCGUCCCUUAUUAGUUCCUAUUUAAAUGUCGGCAUUGAAGUUAAUCUUCUUGAGGUCUGUUCCAGCUCUAAUGGAUGUUUUCUAAGGCAGUCUAAUACAAUAGAUACAAGCAUGCUUUUCAUACGUAAAAGCUACUGUUGAUUCAUUUGAUAAUAAAAUUCACACAUAAAAGCUAUUAGUGAUUAAUUUAAUAAAAUUCCAGGCUUUAAAUCCAUACUGGUUUAGCUUGAAGUAUGGAGGUGUGAAUUUAGGUAGUGUGUCAGGGAGAUUACUCAUCCCAGACAGGUGGUUUGGGUGUUUCCCAGCAGGGGCAAUCAGACCUGUCUGGGUCAUUCAGCCACCCACCACAUAUCUGCAGAGCACAGACUCACGCUUGAGUCAGAUGCUCCCAGAUCACCAUACUCUAACAAUUAGCCACACCACAGCCAUUUGUCUUAAAUUAACUUAGAGCGUGUUAGCUGAAGCCUAAUUAAACAUUGGCAGUUGCUUAGGAAAAACAAUUAAAAAGUCACUCAGCAAUACCAUCUUGUCAUUACAGAAAGCUUUAAUAGGCGGGACUUGCAAAAUAUGGAAAAUCUUUCCCUCACAUGUGUGUUGGCUUCCGCAAUAGCUAAUGGACUCAUCUAGAAUAACACCCUGCCAAGGGUCUUUGAUGGGACAGCUGUUCUCACAAGGCAGCUCUCAGGAAUAUCAGGUGUUCAGGGUUUUUUCUACAGCUGGCAGUAAACAAAAAAAGAAAAGCAAAUUUUGUUUUAUUCAUCACAACAGCUGGAGAAUGUAUAGAAAAUAUUCAAACCACAAAAUAACAAAUGCAAUCCAAACAUCCCCAAUUACUUCUAAAUUCUUUCUUCCACUCUACAGGCCUUUCUCUUACUUUGUAGGCAUUUGGUGGGGUUUUCCUACCUACCCGUUUCCCAAUCUCAGUUAUUUCUGACACACUGUUGCUCCCUCAAAAUUGAAAAUUAUCCCCUCCCACUAUGCUUUGGUGCUUAAGAUUCUGAAUAUAAAGCAAUAUGACCAGCACCAUCCCUGGGCUUUCCAAAAAUGGCCUAGAGAAAAAGGCUUGUCAAAUGAAUUCUUAGUUUUUCUUGUCAGGCUGUGCUUAUGUCUCUCUUGACCUCCUGACCUGUGUAAGUUGUCUAAGGUAUUCAUUGCUUUGAGCUGUCCCUAUAAAAGUAUCAACUUGAUGCUGGUUCUGUGGUAAAUAAGAAAUAAGAAAAUCAAGUCACUGUCUCCCAAAAAGCAAUUCAGUGGCUCAGCUGAAUCUCUUCCUCCUGGUGUUUCCAUGGAACCGAAGUGGACUGGCUCUGCCAACUUCUUUUGCCUUGAUUCCUCACUCUUUCAGCUGAUGAUAGAAUCAUUUUUGUCCCCAAAACUCACACAGGCACUAGAUUUGGGGUAUUGACUAUGUUACCAGGGAAAGCCUUCCACUGCCAUGUAGUGGGGAGUUUCCUCAGAAAGUAUAUGAAGGCCAAAGAAAGUAGGGAGGGUCCCUGCAAAUCCGCAGCAAGCCUUGCCUAAACAAAGGGAAAAGGAGGGUGCUUGGGGGUCGGGGGGCAGGUAGAGGAGGCCUCAGAUACGAUUUGAUAUCCUGUAAUCCACGGUAGGUGGCCUCUGAACUCUGCCCUGAAAAAUCUGUCAUGUUGAGACAGAAAGACACCCUGAGGAUGAGCACAUGUAGAUCUCUGAUCUCUAAGUCUCUUGCUGGACGCAUCCAAGACAAUGUGGAAUAAAGUAGCAGUUCAGGAAGUGUGUUUCCAUGCACUAGUGAAAGGUGAAAAUAUGAAAUAAACUACCCUGGGUUGGUCUUUCAUGCCUACUUUUGUAUUUUUUUAUUUACUUUUGUCAUGUUUUUUGAUAUAUAAUUGUUUGAAAUUUGUAUCCAUGCAAUGUUCCAGCACUGGGAAUUAUGAGAAUGGUUCUGGACCCUACAAAAUCAAUUGACAUGAUUUUUCACUUAGAGCAAGACCACAUCUUCUGGGCAGGCCCAGUGGCUCAUGCUUGUAAUCCCAGCACUUGAGACUAAGACGGGAGGAUCACAUCAGUCCAGGAGUUCAAGACCAGCAGGGUAACAGAGGGAGAACACCCACUCUCUAAAAAAGACUUUUAAACAUUAGCUGGGCAUACUGGUGCAUGCCUCUAGUCCCAGCUCCUCAGGAGGCUGUGGUGGGAGGAUAGCUUGGGCCUGGGUGGUUGAGGCUGCAAUGAGCCAUGAUCGUGCCACUGCACUCCAGUCUGAGCAACAGAGUGAGCCUCUGUCUCAAAAAAAAUAAAAUAAAAUAAAGACAACAUCUGAUUUUGUUCAGUUCACUUUCACCCUACACUGAGUAAAUCUCCAGAAAGAAAUCUAAGGACUACGUAAUCAGUCAAUCCACUCAACCCACAACGCUACUGGAGUACACUCAUUAAGCCUCAAGAGACCUGUAAAGAAAAGGUCAUCCAAAA
rnacentral:lncRNA from 1 species